AUUGAACGCUGGCGGCAGGCCUAACACAUGCAAGUCGAGCGGUUGCAGAAAGAUUGUUCCUUGUUUCCGGGGCGGACGGGGGCGUGAUGCCUAGGUCUCUGACUCGUCCUGAUGGAUGACGUCCGGUAACGGGCGCUAAUACCACAACCGCACUGAGGCAGAAAGUCGGAGAGCUUCGGCCUCCGCGCUCUUAGCUUCGCCUAGGCCGGGUUAGCUAUAUGGUGGGGUAACGGCUCACCCAGGCGACGAUCCGUAGCUGGUCUGAGAGGAUGACCAGCCACACUGGAACUGAGACACGGUCCAGACUCCUACGGGAGGCAGCAGGGGGGAAUAUUGAACAAUGGGCGCAAGCCUGAUGCAGCCAUGCCGCGUGUAUGAAGAAGGCCUUCGGGUUGUAAAGUACUUUCAGGGGGGAGGAAGGGAGUAAAGUUAAUACCUUUGUUCAUUGACGUUACCCGAAGAAGAAGCACCGGCUAACUCCGUG
rnacentral:rRNA from 1 species